GAAUCUUCCACAAUGGACGAAAGUCUGAUGGAGCAACGCCGCGUGAGUGAUGAAGGGUUUCGGCUCGUAAAACUCUGUUGUUGGAGAAGAACGGGUGUCAGAGUAACUGUUGACAUCGUGACGGUAUCCAACCAGAAAGCCACGGCUAACUACGUGCCAGCAGCCGCGGUAAUACGUAGGUGGCAAGCGUUGUCCGGAUUUAUUGGGCGUAAAGCGAGCGCAGGCGGUUUUUUAGGUCUGAUGUGAAAGCCUUCGGCUUAACCGGAGAAGUGCAUCGGAAACCGGGAGACUUGAGUGCAGAAGAGGACAGUGGAACUCCAUGUGUAGCGGUGAAAUGCGUAGAUAUAUGGAAGAACACCAGUGGCGAAGGCGGCUGUCUGGUCUGCAACUGACGCUGAGGCUCGAAAGCAUGGGUAGCGAACAGGAUUAGAUACCCCUGGUAGUCCAUGCCGUAAACGAUGAGUGCUAAGUGUUGGAGGGUUUUCCGCCCUUCAGUGCUGCAGUUUAACG
rnacentral:rRNA from 1 species